UGCAAGCUUCACAGAUUUCAUUUGUCAAUCGACUUCUCUUGUAUAACUUGGCAGAUUAAAAGCUUGUCCAUUUUAUUUAUUUACAAGAAGGCUUUCCCAAGUGUUAGGUAACUGUUGCUUUAUUUAGAUGGAGAUGUUUUGUGACGGAUCCGACCUUGAAAGUAUGUUUUAAUUCUGCAUGAUUCCUUCCAUUCUGUGGAUGAAAACAAAUCAUUGGGACUCAGUAAACAAUACUAUUUUUCCCAAGCACUGUGUAAAGAACAUGUCUGAGUCACCAGACAGUAUUUUAACGUUAUGAUAUUCCAUAACUAAAAAAAAAAAUCCACUCUGUGGUUGAGGAUAUGUGGCAAACUCAAGAGGUGAGAGGAAGAUUUAGAGGAGUAGAAGAAUUAAAAGUGGAACACUACGUCUCAACUAAUAGCAGAAGAAAGUCUUUUUGUACGAAGGAGUACAAGGACCCCCUGUGGUAAAAAUGAAAUAUUGCUCCAAUGAGAUGCUACAUCAAGACUGUUGUCCAGAGCUAUAUAUAAGGUCCCUCUUGAAUUAGCUGAAAGAAGGAUAUUUUACUAAGACAGUGACAUAAGACACCUAUGAAAUCUGAAGAAUCAAGUAGUAAAGACAACCAUCAUGCUUCAGCACAAACCACCUCUUUCUCCAGCCCUUCAGGAACCCUGACUGCGUGCGCUUGUGCAGAUAUCCCCGACACGCUGGUCUGGGGGUGUUGGGGCAUCUGCUGAUGUCAGAACCGAUCACUAAGUUGUACAGUGAAGAAGAUUACACAACCGAAAACCAAGCCCUGCAGCACCACUACUGAAGAUCUGGGCUAUUUUACCUUGGCGGGCC